ensembl:snoRNA
UCCACAACCCAGUUCCUUGUUCAACUGAGAUGGGGAGCUGCACAUAAGGGUGGUAGAGAAAAGCAGUUGCUAGUGGACCCUCACUGUAUUCUGAAUAAGGAACAAGUUCAGAGGCAAACAGCA